AGAAAAACUACUCAUAAUGCUGAUAAUGAAUGCCUUGGAGAUUUUGGCCGAGGAAGGACGCAUAUGACGGCGAUACUCGUUGGGUAGGUGUCAUAAACCUCUGAUCCAGCGGUUUCCGAAUGGAGCAAUCCCCCCGCCUUUGGCGGGGAGCCUUUCAUAAACAAAGAUGAUUUAUCAUUUUAAUAGUGAUUUGGCGGGGAACGGCGUGAACUGAAACAUCUAAUUAACGCCAGGAAAAUAAAUCAAAGCUCCCGUUAGAACUUUGUUCGUAAGUUUAUGCGAGUUAAAUUAAGUCAUCGGACUUGAAAUAGCUUCUGAAUUUAUGGCCAGAGUUCUAACGGGAUGGAGAUUCCCUUAGUAGCGGCGAGCGAAAAGGGAAAAGUCUAAACGCUUGUGCAUGGCACAAGAACUACUAACAGCUAACUACUGACAACUAAAAAUCGUUAGAAGUUAGAAGUCAUAAGUUAGUUGUUCUCGCGCUGUGCGCGAGCGGGUUGCAGGGCAGACGAUAUUCGAUGAAGAGAUUGAUAGCAGAAGUGGCUGGAAUUGCCACGCCAUAGACGGUGAAAGCCCAGUACGCAAAAUUAAUCUCUCCGAUAGUCUGUUCCUAAGUACCAUGGGGUACGGUGAAACCCUGUGGGAAUCUGGGGCGUCCACGCUCCAAGACUAAAUACCAAAAUCUACCGAUAGUGAACUAGUACCGCGAGGGAAAGGUGAAAAGCACCCCGGGAGGGGAAUGAAAUAGAACUGAAAUUGUCAGCUAACAAGCAGAUAGAGCUUGUGCAUAGCACAAGAAUUUUCAAGUAACAAUUCUCAAUUUUCAUUGAAUUUUCAAUGUUUCAAUUUUAAAUUUUGAACAUUUGGAUUUGAUUGAAAAUUGUAAAUUGGAAAUUGGUAAUUCUCGCGCUGUGCGCGAGUAAUAUCGUGCCUAUUGAAGAAUGAACCGGUGAGUUAUUCGAGGCUUAUCGUCUAAGAAAUUUACGUUUCGAAGGCAAAGUGAAAGCGUGCUCUAAUUGAGCGAUUUAAGUAAGUCUCGUAUAGACCCGAAACUGAGUGAGCUAACCUUGGGCAGGGUGAAUGUCAGAGAAGUCUGACAGGAGGCCCGUACCCGUAUCUGUAGCAAUAGGUUGGGACGACCUGAGGUUAGGGGCAAUAUGCCAAACGAACUCAGAGAUAGCUGGUUCUCCCCGAAAUAUAUUUAGGUAUAGCGGUUAGGUGGUGUCUAGAGGUAGAGCACUGAAUGAAAUCCGGCGUCGCAAGAUGUCGGUUUCAAUCAAACUCCGAAUGCUAGUAACACUUUACCUAGCUAGUCAGACAUGUCGGGCUAAGCUGAUAUGUCUAAAGGGAAACAGCCCAGACUUUCGUCUAAGGUCUCUAAAUAAAAGCUAAGUUUUGAACGAAGUCACAAUUCAUAGACAACCAGGAGGUUGGCUUAGAA
rfam:Candidatus Levybacteria bacterium RIFCSPLOWO2_01_FTLL_39_10 rifcsplowo2_01_scaffold_1168, whole genome shotgun sequence.